UGAUGUUCACAGAAAGGCAAAAAAAAAUUGAGAAAAUCUUUUCUUAUUUUAUACAAUUUGGAUUAGAAAUGUCUCUUAUUUAUAAGUACCUGCAAGUAAGGUUACAAAUUAGGAGAAUACCUAUUUUUAUCACAGGUAUAGAUAAAAUUAGAUCAUCAACAUACUGAUAUAUAAAUGAUGGAGUAAAAGAAAGUCUCUCUAAAGAUGAUUUUAUAAGCGUUGACAUCACCAUAUCAGCUAAAAUAGGACUCAAGCAACUGCCCAUGGGACAUCCAAAUUUUUGUUUAUAGAAAGAACCAUUAUAUAGGAAAUAAUUAGAAUGAAAAAUGUAUUCAACUAUCUGAAUGAAAUGCUCUUUAUGAA